rnacentral:rRNA from 1 species
UACGUAGGGCGCAAGCGUUGUCCGGAAUUAUUGGGCGUAAAGAGCUCGUAGGCGGUCUGUUACGUCCGCUGUGAAAACCCAGGGCUUAACCCUGGGCUUGCAGUGGAUACGGGCAGACUAGAGGCAGGUAGGGGAGAAUGGAAUUCCCGGCGUAGCGGUGAAAUGCGCAGAUAUCGGGAGGAACACCGGUGGCGAAGGCGGUUCUCUGGGCCUGACCUGACGCUGAGGAGCGAAAGCGUGGGAGCG